rnacentral:rRNA from 1 species
GAUGAACGCUGGCGGCGUGCCUAAUACAUGCAAGUCGAGCGAACGGACGAGAAGCUUGCUUCUCUGAUGUUAGCGGCGGACGGGUGAGUAACACGUGGAUAACCUACCUAUAAGACUGGGAUAACUUCGGGAAACCGGAGCUAAUACCGGAUAAUAUUUUGAACCGCAUGGUUCAAAAGUGAAAGACGGUCUUGCUGUCACUUAUAGAUGGAUCCGCGCUGCAUUAGCUAGUUGGUAAGGUAACGGCUUACCAAGGCAACGAUGCAUAGCCGACCUGAGAGGGUGAUCGGCCACACGGGACAGGAGACACGGUACAGACUCCUACGGGAGGAAGCAGUAGGGAAUCUUCCGCAAUGGGCGAAAGCCUGACGGAGCAACGCCGCGUGAGUGAUGAAGGUCUUCGGAUCGUAAAACUCUGUUAUUAGGGAAGAACAUAUGUGUAAGUAACUGUGCACAUCUUGACGGUACCUAAUCAGAAAGCCACGGCUAACUACGUG